UGAACUCCCCACACACUCACACACGCACUCAGAGGUCAUCACAUUCCCACCCUAACCCGAGAAAUCCACCUGCUGUCGCCAAAUGGAGACCCCGGGAGGUGAUCAGGCUCCCCUUCCGUGCUCACACAGGCCUGCCUAGAGUCGGGUCCCGCGACUUUACCUUAUCCGGAGUUCCCCUCAGUUCAGUCCGUUUUCCCCUAGAGUCCGGUGAGCAGCAACGCCGGAGCAGCAGCAGUUCCCCUCCAGGAAAGGAGGCCCUGUAGAAGCUUACAGGGCCCAUUCCUUGUUGCCGGCGGGGAACAGGCGAGCUGUCCGUCCUUUCCGACCUCAAACCGGUGGCUCAAGGGGCCAGUGCGCUUGGGUUUCCCGCUCAGGGAACCAAAAUUUUACCUGGCAAGAAACCCAAGAGGCCUUCAGGGAAAUGGAGGAACACUCUUUAUUAAGCCGGCGGGCCCGGAAGGGUUUACACCCAAAAGUCUGGACCCCCCGCUAGGAAAAGUACACAGUUUUUACAGAGAGAAGGGGUUUCACCAUGUUGACCAGGAUGGUCUUGAUCUCUUGACCUCAUGAUCUGCUUGCCUCGGCCUCCCAAAGUGCUAGGAUUACAGGCAUGAACUACCGUGCCCCGCCAGGGUCUUACUGUCAUCCGGGAUGAAAUACAGUGGUGCGAUCACUGUUCCCUGCAGUCUCAACCUCUCAGAGCUCAGAUGAUUCUCCCACCUCAGCCUCUAAAGUAGCUGGGACUACAAGUAUGUGCCACACCUAGACAAUUUUUUUGUGUUGCCCAGGCUGGUCUCAAACCCCUGGAUUCAAGCAGUCUACUCACCUGGGCCUCACAAAGUCCUGGGAUUACAGGCAUGAGCCACUACACCAAGCAAGGUGGAUACCUCUAAUUUUCUUGGGACUUCUCAACAAAUUAUUUCUAUGUUUCUUGGAAAUGGCCAUUUGGAACAUGAUCUGGACGAUGUGCAAAGACUUCUUGAACUUGAGACCUAGAAGAUUUGAUACCAACUGGGGAAAAAAAGAGCCUGGGUCACUUGAACACCCUUUAAAAGGAGAAGCAGGCAGAGGGGACUCAAGAAAUAUGUUAGGGUAUUAUUCCCCUUUGUUGGCAAAAUUUAAAAGAAUAAAUUUAUAAACAUAAGGCACCAGAAAUAAAAACAUCCUUUCGUUCUAUUUCCUGCAGUGACAAGAGAUAUAUAUUCUGGAUUGUAGAGAGAGCUGCCUUGGAGAUAAAUUGUCUGAUUUCAGCAUCUCAGCGGUGGAUAAUAGAUUCCCCUCAGAACCACAUAAUUAAAAAAUGACAUUUUUGCUACUUUGUGCCAACUCAGUACCACCGCUGCCCUGGCUUCCAGGCCUGGGAGUCCUGCAGGGCACAACCAAACAAAUUUUGCAUUAUUCAAUGGGACAAUGUAAGGUCAUGUUAACAAAAAAAAAGUUCCUUCUGGGGGGACCAGAGGACUUUAUUAUUUUCUUCUCUACAAAUUCCUCUUUCUGCUUUUCUACUUAUUUUAUUUUUCAAUUCUGCCAACAUGAAAAAGAUAUGAACGAUGAGAUUAGGACAUCCAUUUAUUACAAGUUGGCCAGAUGAAAGAGAGCAUAUGUGUGCCGCAGAAUAAAUUAAAGAGCCUAAUUUUAGCAACUUUUUUUCCUCCAAGCAGAUAUUCAGAAUAAGCCAAGAUGAGGCAAAUGCUGUGAGAAAAAUUAUGUAAAUCAAAGUGCUAAAUCCACAUCCUUAGAUGUCUUUAGGAAGAAAUGGUUAAUCCUCAUAUGGAUCCCGCUCCCCUCACCCCUACAAAUCCCUCCAGGAGAUUCCUGAAAGGCAAUUGGCUGCAGUCUGAACAACUGUUCUUUAUGGGUCUCAGUUCACUAUGUAUCUCUAAAAAAGUGCAUGUGCUAGACCAGCCUCCAAUUAACAGUUACUAAAGUGUAAAUGGAUUUCCAAAUGUCACAUAGCUGGUAAUUAGUGAAACCAGGACUAGCAAUGGAUCUUUUGAAUCCUCUCUGAAGUGUGUAAGUAACAGCCAGUAUUCUGCAGGUGUCUUUAGUUCAAAUCAUAAAAGUACACAUAAGGAUAUUUCUUUUUCUUAAAGGAAAUAGAAGAAAAUAUAAGACUAUCUAAAAAAAUACAAUUCAUGGAAUUUAAAUUUUGUGAUUUCAACCGUCAAUUAGCGCUUUGAUUUUAGGUUCACAUGCAUUAUUAUGAAAAUACAUACGCACAAGGUUAUUCAUUUCAGCAUUGUUUUAAAACAUUGGAUACAAACAAAAUACCCCUGCUAAAGGUAUACACAUAACCAACUACAAUACAGCUAUCAACAAGGUAAAUUUCUAUGAACUAAUGUCGGAUAAUUCCCAGAAUAUAUUGCUAAGUAAAAAAAAAGUGUGAUAGAGUUUUCUAUAAUAUGUUCAACGUAGAAAAGUUUGAAAUACAAGAAAAUAUGCAUGUAUAUUUUUUUUUAUGGAGAAAAAAAUACAGGUAUGAUAACCAGAAAUUAUUAAGAAGAGUUACUAACAGGGAGAGGGUGAAAACAGAGUGAAGAAGGUGGAAGAAUAGAAACAGAAUGGAGUGGGACAGAUGAGAAGACAGUGACACUUUUUGGAAUAUAAUUUUUGAAUGAGCCUGAAACUAAAUUUGUAGUAUUGUUUUGCCUACCCAAAAUAUAGAUUGAAAAUUUAGAACCCCCAGGAUGUGAAGGAAAUCCAACAUGGAAUACAAUCAGUAAAGGGUAACCUAACUGUAUUACAAAUGUGUAACAUACUCCCACCUAGGAGGGUGAAAAAGUAAAGAACCUAUUUAAGUAACUUUGGAAGGCAGUAUUGCAAUGCAUACUUAAAAGUUAAGGUUAAAAAGAAAAACACAAAUAUACUCUAGUUAGCAACAUUGCUUUUUGCUAAUGUAGGCAUCACAAACUUUGAAAAUACUUUUUGUAUACUGGAAUUGAACAAAUACUCAAAUAUUUUCUGGAUAAUGUGAUCCGAGUUUCUGUAUGUUAGAUGAAGAAGUAACAAUGUGGAAAGGAGAAAAGCUAGAAUGAACUCUAUAGUGCUGGAUUGGAAUUUAUAUCAUAUAAAGUCAUGGAUUUUGAAUAUGUCUAUAGAUAAAAUGUAAUAAAUAAAUAUGUAUGUUUAUAUGCAUAUAUUAUAUAUCUAUAAAGUGUGUAUGAAUGCAUAUUAUAUAUAACAAUAUUACAAUAUUGUUGCCCAAGUAGCAAUGAACACACUUAAUAAACAGAUUUUGAUUUCUAAGUGCUAUUUUCCAUGUUUUCUAUUUUUAAAUAAGGAUGGGCUCUUUUAUGGUGAAAUAGAUUGGGAAGAAAAAUAUAAGAUAAGGUCGGAACCUCUUGUGGUGCAAGAAUGUAAUGAAGUGUUCAAGGGAUGAUGGAGGCAUGUAAAAGGGACACAGGAACCAACUUAAGAUCUCAGUAGCAAUUGGAAGGAUUUGAAGUAACAGAAUAAAUCAUGAUAGUAUUGGGAUUGAAAUAUGACCCAUAAAAUAAAUACUUAUGAGUCUGUGCUGAUAGGGAUAAAUAACUGAAUAAAUAAGUAAACGAUGGGGAAUAGGCAACAGCUCUUCCUUAUAAUACAAUUACAAUUGAGUAAUUUGGAAGGAAUGACAGAAACAGAAAAUUACCCUUGGGCAUGCACUGUGGUACAAUAGUUGCAGGCAAGAAUCAUCCAUGGAAAUGAAAUGUAUUGAGCAAAAAUAUAACGGAGCACAGGAUAUUUGCAUAGUCAAGAUAUAACUCCCUGCAAGAUUCCUAUUAAUUACAAAAGGAAAACCAAUAGCUUUACAGUGGGGAAACUUGGCAGACACAAAAGUGACGAACUUAUUAGAGUUAACAUCAUCAGUUUUAAGAUGUAUUGGCAUGACAGUCCUCCUGAUAUAAUCCAAUAAGAAGGUUAAAACAUUAUUUCAGUAGCAUUUUUGCAAAACAAACAAACAAACCCCCCCAAAAAAACCCUCAAUGUAAUCAUGAUAAAACAUCACACAAACACAAAAGGAAUGAAUGACAUCAUACAAAAUACCUGACCAUCAUUGAAAGUGCUAAGGUUAUGAAUGACAAAGAAAAUGAUAGAGAAACUCUUAAAGAAAAUGAAAGAAAA